rnacentral:rRNA from 1 species
AACGAACGCUGGCGGCAGGCUCAACACAUGCAAGUCGAACGCUCGGAGCAAUCCGGGAGUGGCGGACGGGUGAGUAACGCGUGGGAACGUGCCCUGAGGUAGGGAAUAACUGCGGGAAACUGCAGCUAAUACCCUAUGAGCCCAUAGCAAUAUGGGGAAAGAUUUAUCGCCUUGGGAGCGGCCCGCGUCGGAUUAGCUAGUUGGUGGGGUAACGGCCUACCAAGGCUUCGAUCCGUAGCUGGUCUGAGAGGACGAUCAGCCACACUGGGACUGAGACACGGCCCAGACUCCUACGGGAGGCAGCAGUGGGGAAUCUUGCGCAAUGGGCGAAAGCCUGACGCAGCCAUGCCGCGUGAACGAUGAAGGCCUUAGGGUUGUAAAGUUCUUUUGCCCGUGACGAUGAUGACGGUAACGGGAGAAUAAGCUCCGGCUAACUUCGUGCCAGCCGCCGCGGUAAU